GAUAAAAAUUUAAACUUUGGCUUCAAGCACAUCUAAGUUUUGUUUUAAUUUUUUUAUUUAUUUAAUUCGGAGGAUUGCAUGAGUGCAUGGAACGAAUGGAGCGCUAGGACUUGACUGCGACUAUAGACUACCAAAGACAACACCACCAAGACACAAAGUGCUAACCGUCCAUUUAAUGUUUAAGCAUAAAGUUCAUUCUUUACUCGUAUGAACAGAUUCAUUCUCACAACAACAAUUUGUUUCUUUUUAUCACUAAAUCUCGAUUGAUGUAAAUACUAGUCACUACUCAGAAAACAUCCAAUCGCAACCAAAAGAAGUAUAAUAAUGCAUCGUAACCAAACCGUAAGGAAUUCAAUGUUAUACACUGUACAUAUAUCACAAACACACCAGAAACGAAGGGGCGAGUGCAAAAGCAUCCCAAUGCAACAACGGUCGUCAGUGUUGUGUUGAGGACUAGCGGAGGAGAGUAGAAUUAAAAAUUCUCUUACAUAUUAGCUGUACACAAAUGCGCGCCCACGCGCAUUGUAGUAAGUGUUUUAGAUGCAAAAGCAGACGAUCCUUUUGUGUAGUAAAGCCCAACAGCAUAAAUACACGAAACAAAACAAAAACAAAAAAAAAAUGUCAGCAAUACGAUCUCUACAUGAUAACUAAAUCUAACUCCUAAAAUUAAUCAUUACUAAAGUAAGACUUUGGCAAUGUUCUUACUUGAGAAGAAAACCCUACUUUUAGAUAUAAUCGCUAAGAAAAAAAAAACAAAAGAAGAAAAAAUCACAUAAAGUAUGACGAAGUUCAGAACCAUAUUAUAAUGAGAGAAAGAGGAAAAACGCAAUUUUGGACUAGUAUUUUAAUUUAUAUUUAUAACGAAAUUAGAUUUUAGCGUUUAAAGUCACGGAUCCUUCGUAGAAGAUACGCAUCAUACCAGUUUGCAAGUAGCGUGAAAAUUCCACAAACUCAAACCUAAAAAAAAAAAACACAUUCAAGAGAUACGAUUCAACCGGGCGUAAGGCGUACGAGGAAAAACACAAACAACCAGUUCAUGAUGUAAACGGUAUACCACAAGAAAAAAAAAUGGAAGAAAAUAAGUUUAAAGGAUGGAAAUAUUAUUAGAAAUUAUCGUAAUGAAGAUGUGUGUAUCUGAGUAAUCUAAAAACAAAAGGAAUCCAGAAAUGAACGACAUGAAGUCAAAAUUAAUGAACUAAAAUUUAUCCUUAGAUGUUUCGAUGUAGUUUGACACAGCAAAAAUGAUGAUGAACGUGCAUGUAAGAAAAAAAAAAUAAUAAUGUGAAAACACUUUUAGAUAAGCGUUCUCCGAGGAAAACAUAACAACAUUAGGUUCACACUACAAACUCCAUUGUGUAGGUUUACGGCAUGAUAUAAAUUCAAAAACGAAAAAAAAAAUGCAACAUCAGCUGAAACAAAACUCAUGUAAUGAUAUUUUUCCCGGUCGAGUUUAGUAGCAUCGCAAGCCACACUACACAAAGGUACACUUACAUUUUGAUUGAUGAACGAAGAAAAAAGUACAAAAUUCUCUUGAAAAACAAACAAACAAACAAACAAACAAACAAACAAGAAAAAGUGAGCAAAAUUUACACUUAGAGGCAACACACCUUUCGGAAGUACAAAAUUUCAGGGUUCAAAUUAAAUCAAGCAUUAAAAUUUAAAACACAAAUAGAAAUCAUGAGAAAGGAUCAUUAUCGAAGAGAAGACGAAGAAGUAAAAAUCUACUAUAGUAAAAGUGUAAGGUUUGGGAUCGAGAACGAAAAUGAAAUUGCAACUAGUACUCAAACCGAUAAGCACACAGGAAGCUGUAAUAUUAUUACGUGAGAGCUGGAACUCAAUUUCCCGUCUAUAUAGAAUGAGAAGAGAAAAAAAAACAGGCACACCACAAAGGUUCGGUUCCGAUAAAGGCAACAAUGGAGCAGGAGGCAAAAACAUACGUAAAUUUAAGAUUUAGAACCUUAUUACUCGUAGGAACGUCACGUAUUUAGUUGGAACUUUUCGGCAACUACUCAUACACACAUGCAUUCACAACGCAGCGCAACAUCCAGGAACGGAUAUACCAGACCAUUGAAACACAUACACAGAACCAGUUGAGGGAAGGUAACAUCUCUUAGUUCGAAUUUCGUCUUCAAAAUUUGUAUUGUUUCGGAAAUAAUAUCAUCGUAGAGAUCCAUACUGAAUAGCACAAAAUCAAUCGGCUAAAUGUUAUUGAGUGAUAUGUAACUCCUAUCGUUUGAAAAAAAGCAUUAGGAACUUUGGAUCAAUAUCCGCGACACGUUGGUCGUCGCAUUUCCUUCGGCACUGCCGAAAUACAUUUACAGUAUACUCAAACUUCCUCUGUAUACGAAUAAAAACAAUAUAUUUCAUAUUGGAGAACUCUUCGGGCCUUACAACACGAACGAUACGGUGGUUGCUGUCCGAAUCGGGAAGCGUCGAUCAUCUUGUCCAAUGCAAUAUUUUUCCAAAUUUUCCUGUGCUCAAUACAUUUUUAAACGUUUAUAUUACCAGAACUGAUCUUACAGCAGAGCUUGGUGCUGAAAUGUGAUCAGUUUUCACAAACUGAAUGCAUUCCAGCAGGGACGCUCACCAUCGCACAAGAGCAUUAAUUGAAUGCAAGUUUUCGUUUCCGAUGCUUUUCCAAAGUGGCGCUUGCGUCGCUUCAGAGAAAUAUCACUCAUGCAAAUUUUGAUGUUCAGUUUGGAACUAUGACAUAAGCAUUGCAUUAUGAUUAUGGAAUGAUAUUUAUGAUAUCUGUGAUUUUUAAAUACAUUGUAAUUAAAUAGUAAUAGAAGGAAAUGGUAACAUGGAGGAAGAAACCAACAGCAAACCCUAACUCGAGGAGACACACCUACACACGUUUGACCAUUAUUGGGCGGAAGAAGUAGACGAAGGACAAAGUUCAGUUCUAUUUUGCUAUAAGAAAAGAAAACUAACCUCCAGCAAAUACGACACAUUUUCGCUUGAAUGAACCUUUUUUCGGUAUACUCACGUCACUUCACACGAACUAAAACGAAGAUGAACUAAAAAUUAAACACAUUUGAUUCACGGUUCGAUUUAAUUACUCGAUCAAAAUUAUAAAUUCAUAUAUUUAUUAUAUUUAGACAUGUCAUCACUAAACAAAAAAAAGCAAGCUUAUAGAAAAGAGCAUCUUCAUCCAAAUCAUGUAUUUUAAGUCACUUUUUUCACGGCUACAAAAGAAGAAGGAAAAAAACAAAACUAUUUCCAGCAAAACGAAAGUUAUAUACGAUCGCAAAAUUGCAAAACACAAUGACAAGAAAAGCGGAAAACAAACAUGAAUGAACAGAAAAUGAAAACCGUGGGUGGUAAAAUGGAUAUGGAUUAUAAGAAGAAAAAUUCAUGGCAUUACAAACAUCCAAAUAAAUAAAUGGAAAAAUGGGAAAAAGAAGAAAAACGGACACAACACUCACACUGACAAAUACACCUGAGAUCCCGUAAGCUAAGUGAAAGAAAAAAGGUGAAUGCAAAUAAUAAAUGAACAGAACAAAAACCAAAACGUGGAUAUGAUAAUUUAUAUAUGAAUAUUAUAAAAAUAAAAAUUAAUUUGUUGCUAAA